rnacentral:misc_RNA from 1 species
CCAAAAUCAAUAACUUCAUCUAGCAACUCAUACACAAGCACAAAAUUUUUUCGAAAUGAAUCUUCAUUGAGAACUCCAAGAUAAUCUUUGAUGACCCGUGCAAUCCUUUGUAAAAGCUCCAACACAAGGGAAGGUGACACAUUGGCUCUCGUGGUUGCAACAAACAGCAAUCCGACAACCUUCACAUGGAAGUAGUUCACACCAUCCACAUUA